rnacentral:rRNA from 1 species
GAUGAACGCUGGCGGCGUGCCUAAUACAUGCAAGUCCAGCGAACGGACGAGAAGCUUGCUUCUCUGAUGUUAGCGGCGGACGGGUGAGUAACACGUGGAUAACCUACCUAUAAGACUGGGAUAACUUCGGGAAACCGUAGCUAAUACCGGAUAAUAUUUUGAACCGCAUGGUUCAAAAGUGAAAGACGGUCUUGCUGGCACUUAUAGAUGGAUCCGCGCUGCAUUAGCUAGUUGGUAAGGUAACGGCUUACCAAGGCAACGAUGCAUAGCCGACCUGAGAGGGUGAUAGGCCACACUGGAACUGAGACACGGUCCAGACUCCUACGGGAGGCAGCAGUAGGGAAUCUUACGCAAUGGGCGAAAGCCUGACGGAGCAACGCCGCGUGAGUGAUGAAGGUCUUCGGAUCGUAAAACUCUGUUAUUAGGGAAGAACAUAUGUGUAAGUAACUGUGCACAUCUUGACGGUACCUAAUCAGAAAGCCACGGCUAACUACGUG